UACCGUAGUGAAAGCGCUCCACGA
rnacentral:miRNA from 1 species